UACAGAGGUCCCGAGCGUUGUUCGGAUUCACUGGGCGUAAAGGGUGCGUAGGUGGUGAGGUAAGUCGGAUGUGAAAUCUCCGGGCUCAACCCGGAAAUGGCAUUGGAAACUACCUUGCUAGAGGAUUUGAGGGGGGAUUGGAAUACUUGGUGUAGCAGUGAAAUGCGUAGAUAUCAAGUGGAACACCAGUGGCGAAGGCGAAUCCCUGGAAAAUACCUGACACUGAGGCACGAAAGCUAGGGGAGCAAACGGG
rnacentral:rRNA from 1 species